rnacentral:misc_RNA from 1 species
GAUAAAGAACGCAGCGAAAUGCGAUAAGUAAUGUGAAUUGCAGAAUUCAGUGAAUCAUCGAAUCUUUGAACGCACAUUGCGCCCGUCAGUAUUCUGGCGGGCAUGCCUGUUCGAGCGUCAUUACGCCCCUCAAGUCCCCUGUGGACUUGGUGUUGGGGAUCGGCGAGGCUGGUUUUCCAGCACAGCCGUCCCUUAAAUUAAUUGGCGGUCUCGCCGUGGCCCUCCUCUGCGCAGUAGUAAAACACUCGCAACAGGAGCCCGGCGCGGUCCACUGCCGUAAAACCCCCCAACUUUUUAUAGUUGACCUCGAAUCAGGUAGGACUACCCGCUGAACUUAAGCAUAUCAAUAAGCGGAGGA